rnacentral:rRNA from 1 species
GGCUACGAGGACGAACGCUGGCGGCGUGCUUAACACAUGCAAGUCGAACGGUGACCCAGGGCUUGCCCUGGUGAUCAGUGGCGAACGGGUGAGUAACACGUGGGCAACCUGCCCCUGACUUCGGGAUAACUCCUCGAAAGAGGAGCUAAUACCGGAUACGACCACUUCGGACAUCCGAUGGUGGUGGAAAGUUUUUCGGUCAGGGAUGGGCCCGCGGCCUAUCAGCUACCGUUGGUGGGGUAAUGGCCUACCAAGGCGACGACGGGUAGCCGGCCUGAGAGGGCGACCGGCCACACUGGGACUGAGACACGGCCCAGACUCCUACGGGAGGCAGCAGUGGGGAAUAUUGCGCAAUGGGCGAAAGCCUGACGCAGCGACGCCGCGUGAGGGAUGAAGGCCUUCGGGUUGUAAACCUCUUUCAGCAGGGACGAAGCGAAAGUGACGGUACCUGCAGAAGAAGCACCGGCUAACUACGUG